rnacentral:rRNA from 1 species
CCUGACCUCGGAUCAGACGUGAUUACCCGCUGAACUUAAGCAUAUCAAUAAGCGGAGGAAAAGAAACUAACAAGGAUUCCCCUAGUAACGGCGAGUGAACAGGGAAGAGCCCAGCACCGAAGCCUA